UACGUAGGGGGCUAGCGUUGUCCGGAAUCAUUGGGCGUAAAGCGCGCGUAGGCGGUUUGGUAAGUCGGAUGUGAAAUCCCGAGGCUCAACCUCGUGACUGCAUCCGAUACUGCCCGACUAGAGGUAGGUAGGGGAGAUCGGAAUUCCUGGUGUAGCGGUGAAAUGCGCAGAUAUCAGGAAGAACACCCGUGGCGAAGGCGGCUCUCUGGGACGGUACUGACGCUGAGACGCGAAAGCGUGGGGAGCGAACAGG
rnacentral:rRNA from 1 species